rnacentral:lncRNA from 1 species
AAUAUACUAGAAGAUCAGGAUGUUAAUUUACUGUCUGUUCUCAAUGAAUAGGUACAAAUUUAGGGCUUCUACAUGAUGGUUUUUAUUCCUGAACAACUCGGACCUCAACCUGGAGUAUAAAAAUGAUGACUCAUCAUGUGCGUAAUCUCAAUUUCUCUUCUUUCAUCAUCUUUUGCCACCUCAAUCUAAUACCCUCCAAAAGCAACCGGAUUAUUUUUCACGCCCAGUCAUUAGAGGAGACCCUCUUAGGUAAGAUAUUACCCCUGCUCAGUAUUAAACUUCAGCCAUUGCCAAUCCCUGUCCGCACAGCCUUUCAUUUAUCCACCCGUAUUUUCACUUUUUAAUUUAGUGUACUCGUAAUCUAUUUUUGACGAAGAAUGUGGUUGAAUUUGCUUGGCAAACUUGGUCAGAGGUGAGGCAUGGUCCUUAAAAGUCCUUGAAUUUUCUGUCAGCAAACUUUAAAAACCAUGCCAAAAGUCCUUAAAAAGUCUGUGAGGGUUCCUGAAUUCUAUUUUAAUUUCUUUGCAUGAGCCCUGAUAUUUAUUUACCCUUACUACUUCCAAUGCUUUCAAUUCUCAACAUUUUCAAUUUUAUUGCAACUGUGUGUGCUAAAGUUAGGGAAGUGGAGGACCUAAAGGACUAUCUAUCUUUCUUAGAUGAGCUUGUUAGACCUUAAAGUAUGCUUUUCCCCUUCUUUUUUAUAAUUUCAUUUUAUUUUCAUGCGUAAUCUAAAUUUUAAUUAUGGUUAGAUUCUUUUAUUUAUGAAAGUAUUUUCAUUUCUUUUUUUCAGAGCCCUGAGUAGGCAUCUUUUUGUUGCUAAUGGUGACUGUAAUUCUCUAUGGCAGUGCAUUAUGACAGCUCCAGCUCAUUUUCUGAUUGUAUGUAUCUUAUUUCUGUAUUUUAAUCCAUUUUAUUUUUUUCCAAAAUAUUUAAAUUCAUCACGGUGCUUGUAGAAGUUUCUGUUGUGGAAAAGAGUGAAAUGAUAGCUAGAUAUAGUUAAUGAAAUAAGACAUGACUUACAAAAGAGAUUUUAUGCCCUAAUGUCGUAAAAGCUUAAAGCAUACAUUGAACAGGAAAAUUGCUGGGAAAUAUAAUUAAAGACAUUCAGCCACUGUGAAAGUUCAAGGAACAAAUGAAGAACAAGUGACUUAUCUCUCCUAUAAUCUAGACCGAGGAUAGCAGUGUUAGUUAGGAACCCAAACAGUUAUACUGAAAUUUGCUGCAAGGGAGCAUAUUCUUUCUUUAAAAAGUACUCCACCUGUGGAUUAUUGCCUUAGGGUAUUACUUGAUUGAUGGGGGAGGUUCAUACCUAAUGUGUUUUGACCAGUUUAUAUUACUAAAUAGUUUAACAACGGACUUGUUUAUGGUGUUACAGGUUUUCCUUCUCUGAAAGCAUCAAUUCCAGUAUGUCUAGAUGCGUUAAGUCCGAUUUCAGGGCUCUUUUAAUUUUUCUUAAAUCUUCGGUUUUCCUUCAAUCGGAAAAUGUAUCACCAGCCGUGACCUUUCUUUACCACACAUAUUGCAAAUUGGUAACUCGAUUAAUUUCCUUGUAUUGUGAGUAUUCAUUGAUUCACCAUGUUUUCUUAACAAUUACAAUUUAUAAAAUGUAACAAUUGUUUCCCUGAUUCCGUCUCGUUCAGUUAUCAAAAUUAUUCAGAUCACUUAUUCUGAAUUUUUAUAAAAUUACUUGUUGCCUGCUUUUAACAUAGUACAUACCUGAACCAAAAAUAAAUAAAACCCACAGUUUCCUAGAAGGACUAUUAGAAGAUGACCCGAAAUUAUGUUUGAUAUCAACCGAAUCCUUAGGGAUCAAGGACGAAUGAACAUUCUGAUACUUUCAAUAACUAAGACUAUAAAUGAAAUUAAAAUUAGUGGAGUCCCCA